rnacentral:rRNA from 1 species
GCCUCCCUCCGCGCCAUCAGACUCCUACGGAGGGCAGCAGUGGGGAAUAUUGGACAAUGGGGAAACCCUGAUCCAGCGACGCCGCGUGUGUGAAGAAGGCCUGCGGGUUGUAAAGCACUUUUAGUGGGGACAAAAAGUCAUGGGCUAAUAACUCGUGAUCUUGAUUUAACUCACAGAAAAACGCACCGGCUAACUCUGUGCCAGCAGCCGCGGUAAUAC